GAUCAUGGCUCAGGACGAACGCUGGCGGCGUGCCUAACACAUGCAAGUCGAACGAAGCUUGACGAAUGAUUUCUUCGGAAUGAAAUCUGAUAUGACUGAGUGGCGGACGGGUGAGUAACGCGUGAGCAACCUGCCCUUCGGAACGGGAUAGUGUCUGGAAACGGACAGUAAUACCGUAUAACGUAUUUUUACCGUCAUGAUAGAAAUACCAAAACUGAGGUGCCGAAGGAUGGGCUCGCGU
rnacentral:rRNA from 1 species